rnacentral:misc_RNA from 1 species
GAUGAAGAACGCAGCGAAAUGCGAUACUUGGUGUGAAUUGCAGAAUCCCGUGAACCAUCGAGUCUUUGAACGCAAGUUGCGCCGGAAGCCAGUAGGCCGAGGGCACGCCUGCCUGGGCGUCACACGUCGUUGCCCCCCCAUCUACUCCUUCGGGAUUGCGGGGGGCGGAUGAUGGCCUCCCGUGCGCCUCGCCGCGCGGUUGGCAUAAAUGCCAAGUCCUCGGCGACGCACGCCACGACAAUCGGUGGUUGCGAAACCUCGGUUGCCCGUCGUGUGCGGUCGUCGGGCAUCGAGGGCUCGAAAAAAUUGCCGGGUUCCGGCUCGGCUUUCAACGCGACCCCAGGUCAGGCGGGGUUACCCGCUGAAUUUAAGCAUAUCAAUAAGCGGAGGA